CCUACGGGCGGCAGCAGUGGGGAAUUUUGGACAAUGGGGGGAACCCUGAUCCAGCCAUGCCGCGUGUGUGAAGAAGGCCCUCGGGUUGUAAAGCACUUUCAGUGAGGAAGAACGCCUGGUGGUUAAUACCCAUCAGGAAAGACAUCACUCACAGAAGAAGCACCGGCUAACUCCGUGCCAGCAGCCGCGGUAAUACGGAGGGUGCGAGCGUUAAUCGGAAUUACUGGGCGUAAAGCGCGCGUAGGUGGCUUGAUAAGCCGGUUGUGAAAGCCCCGGGCUCAACCUGGGAACGGCAUCCGGAACUGUCAAGCUAGAGUGCAGGAGAGGAAGGUAGAAUUCCCGGUGUAGCGGUGAAAUGCGUAGAGAUCGGGAGGAAUACCAGUGGCGAAGGCGGCCUUCUGGACUGACACUGACACUGAGGUGCGAAAGCGUGGGUAGCAAACAGGAUUAGAUACCCCUGUAGUC
rnacentral:rRNA from 1 species